UACGGAAGGCAGCAGGGGGAAUAUUGCACAAUGGGCGCAAGCCUGAUGCAGCCAUGCCGCGUGUAUGAAGAAGGCCUUCGGGUUGUAAAGUACUUUCAGUCGUGAGGAAGGUGUUAAGGUUAAUAACCUUAGCAAUUGACGUUAGCGACAGAAGAAGCACCGGCUAACUCCGUGCCAGCAGCCGCGGUAAUACGGAGGGUGCGAGCGUUAAUCGGAAUUACUGGGCGUAAAGGGCACGCAGGCGGUUAAUUAAGUUGGAUGUGAAAUCCCCGGGCUUAACCUGGGAAUGGCAUUCAAGCUGGUUAGCUAGAGUCUUGUAGAGGGGGUAGAAUUCCAUGUGUAGCGGUGAAAUGCGUAGAGAUGUGGAGGAAUACCGGUGGCGAAGGCGGCCCCUGGACAAAGACUGACGCUCAUGUGCGAAAGCGUGGGGAGCAAACAGGGAUUAGAUACC
rnacentral:rRNA from 1 species